rnacentral:rRNA from 1 species
GACAGAGGCCUCGAGCGUUAGGCGGAAUCACUGGGCUUAAAGCGUGUGUAGGCGGGCCCGUAAGUGUCUUGUGAAAUCCCACGGCUCAACCGUGGAACUGCUGGGCAUACUGCGGGUCUUGGGCCAACUAGGGGCAGCCGGAACAAGCGGUGGAGCGGUGAAAUGCGUAGAUAUCGCUUGGAACGCCGAAGGUGAAAACAGGUUGCUGGGGUUGCGCCGACGCUGAGACACGAAAGCCAGGGGAGCAAACGGG